AAAUGGUUUUGUGGAGGACCACAAAGACCUGUGAUUGUUGUGGAGUUUGGUGAGGAGCAUCUCUUGAAAAGCCUCCUCUGGAGCCAGUGUGGACUGCUACUCAGCACAACCAGGUUGGGAAGUCCUGUAGAUCUGACCUGAAGACCUGGCUGUAGUUGGACAAGCUUGCAAUGGGAGAAUAAGCUCAACAGCAAAGGGAGAAUGGAGGAGAAAACCAGAGGAGGACCUCAUCCAUGACCCUGACGCUCUACAGGACCACUUUAAGUACCUUCACCCCCUCUUCCUGUCCUCUCUGGAGACUCUUCCAGUGUUUGGGCACUGAUGACUUUCGUUGCAGGUGUGAAACACCCCAGCUGAAACUUUUGCCUCCCCAUGAAAUAAAUCUGCAUUGUGGUGGCUGGUUACUUCACCUGGACUGAUAUCAGCAUCAAAACAUCUCCUGGUUGGUGCAAGAAGAAGCAUUCCUGCAAUGCCUGGGGCCUGAUGCAGUCUGGAGGAGAUCAACACUCACAGCCUUGGAGAGAGGCAGCAUUGAGGACACUUCUUCAUUGGCAAGUAAACACAAACUCGUUUUCUUGCCUGCCUUUCUGGGGAUUUCUGUCAAAAUCAGCCACAGGCUUGGACUAAGCCUAACCCAGCACUUCUCUGCAAGCUGACAGGUGUAAUAUGGGACUUGAUGAUCUCCUAUUGUCUAAGAUAUCUUUUCCUGUCUUCUAAGAUUAUUCUCUAAAGAGGAGUGCUCACUGUCAGCCUCAGGUAGUUUCAGGUGUCCUGGAGAAGGUUGUUAAAAGACUUGCUGGUGGCUUAAACCUGUGGUGAAAAUUACGAUGUGUCAAAGAGGUGCCUGCACGAGGAGGGGGACUUGUUGGGAGAUGGCUGUGCCAUGAUCUCAGACACACUCCAUCCUCCCCUCCACCUGGGAAUGGCACAAGGCGCUCAUCUCUCCAGGCUGAAGCCUCUGCAGGUGUUAAAGAAAUCAACUGAACAGCCUCCUGUUAGUGUUUUUCCAUCUGCCUGUGCUCAACAGCUCAUACUUUUCAAGCUGUGAGAUAGGCGUGAAGACUAAGAGGGCAUUGCCAGGGCACCCAGAAACCUGAAUAACCCACAGGUGGGAUUGAGUUGGGUCUGGGACUGCACACUGCUGGAAUCUUCCAAGGCAUGGACUUGGAAGUGACAACUCCAAUGAAGUUCAGCGAGAGGAAAAAAUGCAGCAAGCCUCCAGGCUUAUGUCAGUGGAGCAGCAGGAGAAAAAGUGAUUUCUUCCAAGAAACCUCACUUAAACCUCCCGUCCAAAUUACUUUCUGUGCCUUUGCUCAUCUGCUGUUGAGCAAGAAUCUCCAGGAGGAAUGGUUUUCUUCUCAAGAAAUGCAGUGGUUUCACAGGGAAGGGAAAGAUGUGGGCAACAGCCAGGUUUGGGGGUCAUUUGCUAAGAAGUGGAGCUUUCUAUCUCAGCCUGAAAUCUAGAAAUCUUUUUACCUCUUCCCACAUAAAAAAAGCCUCCCACUGUUUAUCCCAGGUGCCCUCAAGCUUGCCAGGACCUUGAUGAAAAUUACAUCAGGGAGAAGACAGUUCCUUGCACCAUCUCCAGGCUCCUGAGAACCCUCACGUCAAUCCUAUCCAUGCACAAGUGCCUUUACAUCUCUUCUGAGCCUGGAUUGAGGCUCCCAUAGGUGCACCUGUAUUCAGGUCUAAAUCCCUUGUCUUUCAUUAAGGGUUAAGCAGGUACUUAAAGACAGGUGAUGCUGGAUGUUUUCCACCUCCUGACAUGCCCUUUCCCUGCAGGAGGAGGCUUCUUGCAUCAAUAAGUCCUUCUGGAAAUGUGUUGGGGUUAUGUCAUCUCCCUCACCUGACAAUCCCACUCACUUCAAGGGAGCACUUGGCUCUGGAUCCACUUCUAUAAUCAGCUCUAUAAAUGAAAGAAGAGGGAAAAUGAUAAAUGACACCCAGAGUUAUCCAGCCAGCCAGGGUAGAUUACUCACAGGCACUCUGCAUAAGUGACCUUGAAAAUAAAUUCCAGCUAAAUUCUUUAGAAAACUUUAGGGGGGGUGGUGAUGAAGAGGUGGAAUAAAUGGAGCUUAAAAUUCAUUCUCCCAGACUUUUUAACUCCCAUCCAGCAGAAAAAGGAGAGGUCAGUCCCAUGUGUCCCCUGGAAAGGGCAGAAUGUGAUGUCAAUAAUAAGCAUCUAUCACCUGUGAGGAUUUCCAAAAGCAAUCAGGGCUCACCAGCCCUCCAAGAGUGUUUUGCAACCACUUGGAGGGAAACUGGAGCAGAUACAAGGGCUUUGAAAAUUCAUCUCUAGAAAUGUGCUUCAUCAGGACAAAACAGAACUUAAUUAGGGCCGGCUGGAAGGUUUUUGGGGUUUCUUUCCUUUGCAAAGCUCCUCUCGUGCAAAAGAGAUCUUUGGUCAGAAUGGGAAGGGGAUUAGGGAUUUUAGAAACAAGGCAGAUGCUGUCAUCUAAAAUGUGUUCUUCAAGGAAAAAAGGCUCCUUUGGGAACUUUGAGGUGAUUUAGUUAUUUAUUAAUUUGACUGCCAAUGAAACAUUUUUUUUUUACACAAAACUGCUCUGGAAAUGGAGCCUUUCCAGGCGUGGUGAGGUGAUGGAUGGAUGGAUAUUUUGUAUGGAAAUCAGUUAAAAACUCUCAGCCUCUCAUUCAAGCGGGAAACUUCAAUUGCUGGGCACAGCAGUUGAUCAGUUCACCCUCGUGCUUUACACGGAACAACCACCUCCAGUAACCUAAUAAAGAUAAGUUUUUAAUGUA